AUACGGAGGAUCCGAGCGUUAUCCGGAUUUAUUGGGUUUAAAGGGUGCGCAGGCGGCCAUUUAAGUCAGCGGUUAAAUCGUGGGGCUCAACCCCAUUCUGCCGUUGAUACUGGGUGGCUUGAUUGCGGUCGAGGUUGGCGGAAUUCGUGGUGUAGCGGUGAAAUGCUUAGAUAUCACGAAGAACUCCGAUUGCGAAGGCAGCUUACUGGACUGUAACUGACGCUGAUGCUCGAAAGUGUGGGUAUCAAACAGGAUUAGAUACCCUGGUAGUCCACACAGUAAACGAUGAGUACUCGCUGUUUGCGAUAUACGGCAAGCGGCCAAGCGAAAGCAUUAAGUAUUCCACCUGGGGAGUACGCCGGCAACGGUGAAACUCAAAUGAAUUGGCGGGG
rnacentral:rRNA from 1 species